AUGUGUUGUCUAAAAAACCUGAUUGUGUCAAGUGCUAUAAUUGUCAAAUAUAUCGGAGGAAGUGCGCUUUUAAUCAGAGAAAUGUUCGGCUAUGCACGCGAUCACCAACCAUGCAUUAUCUUCAUGGAUGAAAUCGAUGCAAUUGGUGAGAGAAGAUUUAGUGAGGGAACUAGUGACGACCGUGAGAUCCAGCGGACACUGAUGGAGCUUCUUAUUCAGUUAGAUGGAUUUCAUGAUCUUGGCAAGGUAAACUGA
rnacentral:rRNA from 1 species